rnacentral:tRNA from 1 species
GCCAGCGUGGCGGAAUUGGCAGACGCCCGCGACUCAAAAUCGCGUGCCCCUCGGGGGCGUGUGGGUUCGACUCCCACCGCUGGCA